UACGUAGGGGGCUAGCGUUGUCCGGAAUCAUUGGGCGUAAAGAGCGUGUAGGCGGUCCGGUAAGUCUGCUGUGAAAGUCGGGGGCUCAACCCUCGAAUGCCGGUGGAUACUGUCGGGCUAGAGUGCGGAAGAGGCGAGUGGAAUUCCUGGUGUAGCGGUGAAAUGCGCAGAUAUCAGGAGGAACACCUAUUGCGAAGGCAGCUCGCUGGGACGUCACUGACGCUGAGACGCGAAAGCGUGGGGAGCAAACAGG
rnacentral:rRNA from 1 species